rnacentral:tRNA from 1 species
GCGGCGCUGGUCUAGUCUGGUCUAGGACUGAGGCCCUCCAAGCCUCUAACUCGGGUUCAAAUCCCGAGCGCCGCA